rnacentral:rRNA from 1 species
GCAUAACGCGAAGAACCUUACCUACUCUUGACAUCCACGGAACUUAGCAGAGAUGCUUUGGUGCCUUCGGGAACCGUGAGACAGGUGCUGCAUGGCUGUCGUCAGCUCGUGUUGUGAAAUGUUGGGUUAAGUCCCGCAACGAGCGCAACCCUUAUCCUUUGUUGCCAGCGGUCCGGUCGGGAACUCAAAGGAGACUGCCAGUGAUAAACUGGAGGAAGGUGGGGAUGACGUCAAGUCAUCAUGGCCCUUACGAGUAGGGCUACACACGUGCUACAAUGGCGCAUACAAAGAGAAGCGACCUCGCGAGAGCAAGCGGACCUCAUAAAGUGCGUCGUAGUCCGGAUUGGAGUCUGCAACUCGACUCCAUGAAGUCGGAAUCGCUAGUAAUCGUAGAUCAGCACGUCGCGGUGAAUGCGUUCCCGGGUCUUGUACACACCG